CCGUGCCGCUGGCCGCCGGGCUAGCACUGACGUGUCUCUCGGCGGAGGUGCUGUGCGGUGGAACAGACUGGGCCGCGGGCAGCGUCGCGUCACGCAGAGCAGAGCUGAGCCGAAGCGGGACCCGGAGCCCGAGCAGCCGCCGCCAUGGCAAUCAAAUUUCUGGAAGUCAUCAAACCCUUCUGUGUCAUCCUGCCGGAAAUUCAGAAGCCGGAGAGGAAGAUUCAGUUUAAAGAGAAAGUGCUGUGGACCGCUAUCACCCUCUUUAUCUUCUUAGUGUGCUGCCAGAUUCCCGUUUGGGAUCAUGUCUUCAGAUUCAGCUGACCCUUUCUAUUGGAUGAGAGUGAUUCUAGCCUCUAACAGAGGCACAUUGAUGGAGCUGGGGAUCUCUCCCAUUGUCACGUCUGGCCUUAUAAUGCAACUCUUGGCUGGUGCCAAGAUAAUUGAAGUUGGUGACACCCCAAAAGACCGAGCUCUCUUCAACGGGGCCCAAAAGUUAUUUGGCAUGAUCAUUACUAUCGGCCAGUCUAUCGUGUAUGUGAUGACCGGGAUGUAUGGGGACCCUUCUGAAAUGGGUGCUGGCAUUUGCCUGCUAAUCACCAUUCAGCUCUUUGUUGCUGGCUUAAUUGUCCUACUUUUGGAUGAACUCCUGCAAAAAGGAUAUGGCCUUGGUUCUGGUAUCUCCCUCUUCAUUGCAACUAACAUCUGUGAAACCAUCGUAUGGAAGGCAUUCAGCCCCACCACUGUCAACACUGGCCGAGGAAUGGAAUUUGAAGGUGCUAUCAUUGCACUUUUCCAUCUGCUGGCCACACGCACAGACAAGGUCCGAGCCCUUCGGGAGGCAUUCUACCGCCAGAAUCUCCCCAACCUCAUGAAUCUCAUCGCCAUCAUCUUUGUCUUUGCAGUGGUCAUCUAUUUCCAGGGCUUCCGAGUGGACCUGCCAAUCAAGUCGGCCCGCUACCGCGGCCAGUACAACACCUACCCCAUCAAGCUCUUCUAUACGUCCAACAUCCCCAUCAUCCUGCAGUCCGCCCUGGUGUCCAACCUUUAUGUCAUCUCCCAAAUGCUCUCAGCUCGCUUCAGUGGCAACUUGCUGGUCAGCCUGCUGGGCACCUGGUCGGACACGUCUUCUGGGGGUCCCGCACGUGCUUAUCCAGUUGGUGGCCUUUGCUAUUACCUGUCCCCUCCAGAAUCUUUUGGCUCUGGGUUAGAAGACCCGGUCCAUGCAGUUGUAUACAUAGUGUUCAUGCUGGGCUCCUGUGCAUUCUUCUCCAAAACGUGGAUUGAGGUCUCAGGUUCCUCUGCCAAAGAUGUUGCAAAGCAGCUGAAGGAGCAGCAGAUGGUGAUGAGAGGCCACCGAGAGACCUCCAUGGUCCAUGAACUCAAUCGGUACAUCCCCACAGCCGCGGCCUUUGGUGGGCUGUGCAUCGGGGCCCUCUCGGUCCUGGCUGACUUCCUGGGUGCCAUUGGGUCUGGAACUGGGAUCCUGCUCGCGGUCACCAUCAUCUACCAGUACUUUGAGAUCUUCGUUAAGGAGCAGAGCGAGGUCGGCAGCAUGGGGGCCCUGCUCUUCUGAGCCCGUCUCCCAGAUGGGUUGAGGAAGCUGCUCCAGAAGCGCCUCGGAAGGGGAGCUCUCAUCAUGGCGCGUGCUGCUGUGGCAUAUGGACUUUUGUUUAAUAAUGUUUUUGAAUUUCGUAUUCUUUCAUUCCACUGUGUAAAGUGCUAGACAUUUUCCAAUUUAAAAUUUUGCUUUUUAUCCUGGCAUUGGCAAAAA